rnacentral:rRNA from 1 species
GAUGAACGCUGGCGGCGUGCUUAACACAUGCAAGUCGAACGGGAGACCUUUUAUUGAAGCUUCGGCAGAUUUAGCUGGUUUCUAGUGGCGGACGGGUGAGUAACGCGUGGGUAACCUGCCUUAUACAGGGGGAUAACAACCAGAAAUGGUUGCUAAUACCGCAUAAGCGCACAGGACCGCAUGGUCCGGUGUGAAAAACUCCGGUGGUAUAAGAUGGACCCGCGUUGGAUUAGCUAGUUGGCAGGGUAACGGCCUACCAAGGCGACGAUCCAUAGCCGGCCUGAGAGGGUGAACGGCCACAUUGGGACUGAGACACGGCCCAGACUCCUACGGGAGGCAGCAGUGGGGAAUAUUGCACAAUGGGGGAAACCCUGAUGCAGCGACGCCGCGUGAAGGAAGAAGUAUCUCGGUAUGUAAACUUCUAUCAGCAGGGAAGAUAGUGACGGUACCUGACUAAGAAGCCCCGGCUAACUACGUG